rnacentral:misc_RNA from 1 species
GAUGAAGAACGUAUCGAAAUGCGAUAAGUAAUGUGAAUUGCAGAAUUCAGUGAAUCAUCGAAUCUUUGAACGCACAUUGCGCCCCCCAGUAUUCUGGCGGGCAUGCCUGUUCGAGCGUCAUUUCAACCAUCAAGCCCUGCUUGUGUUGGGGUCCUGCGGCUGCCCGCAGGCCCUGAAAACCAGUGGCGGGCUCGCUAGUCACACCGAGCGCAGUAGCACAUCUCGCUCAGGGCGUGCGGCGGGCUCCAGCCGUUAAAGCACCCACCUUUCGCAAGGUUGACCUCGGAUCAGGUAGGAAUACCCGCUGAACUUAAGCAUAUCAAUAAGCGGAGGA